GACGAACGCUGGCGGCGUGCCUAAUACAUGCAAGUUGAGCGCUGAAGGUUGGUACUUGUACCAACUGGAUGAGCAGCGAACGGGUGAGUAACGCGUGGGGAAUCUGCCUUUGAGCGGGGGACAACAUUUGGAAACGAAUGCUAAUACCGCAUAAAAACUUUAAACACAAGUUUUAAGUUUGAAAGAUGCAAUUGCAUCACUCAAAGAUGAUCCCGCGUUGUAUUAGCUAGUUGGUGAGGUAAAGGCUCACCAAGGCGAUGAUACAUAGCCGACCUGAGAGGGUGAUCGGCCACAUUGGGACGGAGACACGGCCCAAACUCCUACGGGGGGCAGCAGUAGGGAAUCUUCGGCAAUGGACGAAAGUCUGACCGAGCAACGCCGCGUGAGUGAAGAAGGUUUUCGGAUCGUAAAACUCUGUUGGUAGAGAAGAACGUUGGUGAGAGUGGAAAGCUCAUCAAGUGACGGUAACUACCCAGAAAGGGACGGCUAACUACGUG
rnacentral:rRNA from 1 species